rnacentral:rRNA from 1 species
GCGGCGGACGGGUGAGUAAAGCUUAGGAAUCUGCCUAUUAGUGGGGGACAACAUUCCGAAAGGGAUGCUAAUACCGCAUACGUCCUACGGGAGAAAGCAGGGGAUCACUUGUGACCUUGCGCUAAUAGAUGAGCCUAAGUCGGAUUAGCUAGUUGGUGGGGUAAAAGCCUACCAAGGCGACGAUCUGUAGCGGGUCUGAGAGGAUGAUCCGCCACACUGGGACUGAGACACGGCCCAGACUCCUACGGGAGGCAGCAGUGGGGAAUAUUGGACAAUGGGGGGAACCCUGAUCCAGCCAUGCCGCGUGUGUGAAGAAGGCCUUUUGGUUGUAAAGCACUUUAAGCGAGGAGGAGGCUUACCUGGUUAAUACCCGGGAUAAGUGGACGUUACUCGCAGAAUAAGCACCGGCUAACUCUGUGCCAGCAGCCGCGGUAAUACAGAGGGUGCGAGCGUUAAUCGGAUUUACUGGGCGUAAAGCGCGCGUAGGUGGUUAAUUAAGUCAAAUGUGAAAUCCCCGAGCUUAACUUGGGAAUUGCAUUCGAUACUGGUUAGCUAGAGUAU